GCCACAGUCGUCUAGGGGUCAGGACACUAGUUUGUGGAGAUCAUCUGCAAUUCACUGGAAACCGAGGUUCGAGUCCUCGCUGCGGCA
rnacentral:tRNA from 1 species